GGCUCCUCGUGGCCAAGCUCCACGUAUAUAUGCAAGGGCUAUUUGUUUGGUUGCAUGAGUUACUCCAACCAGAUUGCAAGAAUAGGUCCGUGUUUGGUUUGGGUGGCUUGAGAUAGCUUGGGUUGUUAUGAUUUUGUUUGGUUGCCUGUACAAUGUGAUAUGAUGACCAUGCAUUUGUUAGGGUGAAGUUACCACCCAUCAUCUAUCUCUUUCUCUUCUCCGUGCACAUGUGUUUUCCCCACUCACCAACAGAGAGUCAUGCUCAUGCGCGAUUCCCUCGAUCAAUGCAGCGAUUCCAUCAAUCCUGAAGCGAGACCUUCAGUUGCAACCUCGCUCGUGGAGCUUGUGGUGGCGAUGGAUCAGCACUCGUCGUAGCAGCAAGAAGGCAGCGGCGCCACAACUUCCAUCUGGUGCCCCUCCUCCCCAUCCUCCGCGGCGAUGGUCAGCAGUAAGAAGGCGGCGGGCGCGGACCCCGUGGGCCGUUGCGUCGAGGCUCUCGACCUCCAUGGCUGCGGCAGAGGACUUGCUCUCUCUCUCGCUGUCCUCCGCGGCGACGGCGGCAGCAAGCCAGCAACAAGAAGAUGGCGGCGCCACAUCCUCCAGCCGGUGCCUCUCGUCUCCUUCCUCGGCGGCGACGCCGGCAGCAGGCCAGCAGCAAGAAGGCGGCGAGCGCGGACGCCGUGAGCUGCUGCGUCGAGGCGGUGCGUGUCCCGGCGGUGAAUCGAUUCGUUCACCUUGGCUAGCGAUAGCUUGUGCAGACUGCAUAAGAGAUAAACGAGAUUUAAUCUCGUUUCCAGCUAUGCAGGAUGAAAAGUGUUUUUGUAUAGCAUAAGUCUAGCUAACACCCUUACUCAGGCAAUCAAACAUGUAUGAACUGCACUACAUAAGCCUGGAUAGGGUGUAAUGCACCCAACCAAUCACCCCCUAUCUAACUUGCAGCUUGCUCAAGUAGUACUACCUAUAUAUACUGUACCUGCGUCGUAUACUUUAUCAAA